rnacentral:rRNA from 1 species
AUUGAACGCUGGCGGCAGGCUUAACACUUGCAAGUCGAGCGAGCGGCGGACGGGUGAGUAAUGUCUGGGAAACUGCCUGAUGGAGGGGGAUAACUACUGGAAACGGUAGCUAAUACCGCAUACCAUCGGAUGUGCCCAGAUGGGAUUAGCUCGUAGGUGGGGUAAAGGCUCACCUAGGCGACGAUCCCUAGAUGGUCUGAGAGGAUGACCAGACACACUGGAACUGAGACACGGUCAAGACUCCUAUGGGAGGCAGCAGUGGGGAAGAUUGCACAAUGGGCGCAAGCCGGAUGCAGCCAUGCCGCGUGUAGGAAGAAGGCCUGCGGGUUGUAAAGUACUUUCAGCGGGGAGGCGUUACCCGCAGAAGAAGCAACGGCUAACUCCGUGCCAGCAGCCGCGGUAAUAC